CGGAGCUGGUAAUAACAAACUAGUUUGUGCCUAGAUGUUCCCGAGUGGUACACUCGACUUAAGUCUAGGAACAUCACAGCUAGCACUGCCGCUCUA
rnacentral:sRNA from 12 species